UGGGUUGGAAGGGACAAAAAUGGGUUGGAAGGGACAAAAAUGGGUUGGAAGAGACACAAGUUGGUGGUGAGCGAACGGAAUUGGCUUGGAACCAUCAAAAAUGGGUUGGAAGAGACAAAAAUGGGUUGGAAGAGACAAAAGUUGGUGGUGAGUGCACGGAAUUGGCUUGGAACCAUCAAAAAACGGGUUGAAAGUGACAAAAAUGGGUUGGAAGACACCAAAAAUGGGUUGGAAGAGACAAAAGUUGGUGGUGAGUGCACGGAAUUGGCUUGGAACCAUCAAAGAUGGGUUGAAAGUUACAAAAAUGGGUUGAAAGUGACAAAAAUGGGUUGGAAGAGACAAAAGUUGGUGGUGAGCGAACGGAAUUGCCUUGGAAACAUCAAAAAUGGCAUUGAGGUGGUGAAAAUGGGUUGGAAGAGACAAAAGUUGGUGGUGAACAAGUGGAAUUGGCUUGGAACCAUCAAAAAAUGGGUUGGAAGUGGCAAAAAUUUGUGGAAAGCAACAAAAAUUGGUGGUGAGCAAAUGGAAUUGGCUUGGAGCCAUCAAAAAUGGGUUGAAAGUGAAAAAAAAGGCUUGAAACCGUCACAAAUUGGUAAAAAAACAAAUCAAAAGGGUUUGAAAUCACCAAAAAUGGUUUGAAACCACCAAAACUUGGUCGAAACUCGACAGAAAAGUUUUGAAAGCAGGAAAAAAAUGGGUGAAACCAUCAAAAAUUGGUAAAAACCCAAGAGAAAGGUCUUGAAAUGAUGAAAAAAUGGGUGAAACCAUCAGGAAUUGGUCAAAACACUGCAGGAAAGUCUUGAAGCCAUCAAAACCUGGCUUGAAGCCGUCAAAAAUGGCUUGAAAGGGAGAAAAAGUGGCUUGAAACCAUCAGAAAUUGGUCUAAACCCAAAAGAACGGUCUUGAAACCGCCAAAAUUUGUUUGAAACCAUCCAUAAACGGGUAGAAAACUGGUGGAAUAGGUUUGAAACCACAAAAAAUGGUGUGAAACAGUCCAAAAAUGGGUGAAAGCAUCAAAAAUAGCUUGAAACCACCAAAAUCGGUUUGAAACCACCAAAACUUGGUUGAAAGUCAACGGAAAGGUCUUGAAAUCAUCAAAAAAUGGAUGAAACCGUCAGGAAUCGGUCAAAACACUACAGAAAGGUCUUGAAACCAUCAAAAAUUGCCUUAAAACCAAAAAAAAUGGGUGUGAAACGCCCAAAAUUUCUUCUACACUCAACGCAAAGAUCUUGAACCCACCAAAACCAGCUUGAAACCACCAGAAGUUGGUGUUAAGCCAAUGAAAAGGUCUUGAAACCAUCAAAACUUGAUAUAAACCCACCAAAAACGGUUUGAAAUCACCAAAAUUUGGUCCAAACACAACAGAAAGGUCGUGAAACAACAAAACUUGACCUAAACCCACCAAAAUCGGCUUGAAACCACCAAAACUUGGUUGAAACUCAACAGAAAGGUCUUGAAGCCAUCAAAAAUGGGUUGAAAGUGGCAAAAAAUGUCUGAAAGUGACAAAAAUUGGUGAGGAACUGAGGGAAGGUCUUGACAUCAUCCAGAAUUGGCUUGAAAGUCAUAAAAAAUCAUUGAAAACCAAUGGAAAGGUCUUGAGUGGGUUGAAAAGUGAAAAAAUUUGGCUUGAAACCACCAGAAAUUGGUCUAAACACAAAAGAAAGGUCUUGAAACCAUCAAAGAUUGGAAGAAAAGCAAUGGAAAGGUUUUGAAACCGCAAAAAAAAGAGCGUGAAAUGGUCCAAAAAGGGUGAAACCACCAAAACUGGUUUGAAACCACCAAAACUUGGUCAAAACCCAACACGAAGGUCUUGAGAUCAUCAAAAAAAGGGUGAAAGCAUUGGUGCAAACUAAACAGAAAGGUCUCAAACUCAUCAAAAGUGGCUUGAGAGUACCAAAAAAUGGAGAAAAACCCACAGAAAGGUCUGGAAACCAUCAAAAGUUGGUUCAAACCCAACAGAAAGGGCUUGAAACCACCAAAAGUUGGCUUGAAACCUUCAAAAAUUGGUCCAAACCCACCAAAAUUGGCUCGAAACCAUCAAAAGUGGCUUGAAAGGGACCAAAAUGGUGGGAAACCAAUGAAAUUGUCUUGGAAUCAUCAGAAAUGGUUUGGAGAUGGCAGAUAUCGGUGUGAAAGCAUCAAAAAUGGUUGGAGACCAUCAGAAGAUGGCUUAAAAGACACAAAAAUUAGUGGGAAAGCUGCAAAAAAUCGGUGAGGAACCAAGAGAAGGUCUUGAAACCAUCAAAAAUCAUCUUGAAAGUGGCAAAAAUUGGUUGAAACGGGAAAAAAUUGUCUGAAAACAACAAAAAAAUGGUGAGGAACCGAGAGAAGAGUCUUGAAAUCAUCAAGAAUUGGUUAGGAAGUGGCAAAAAUGGGUUGGAAGUGAAAAAAAUUGAGUUGAAGUCAUCAAAAAUGGCUUGAAAGUCGUAAAAAGUGGUGGGAAAGGAACGGAAAAGUUUGGAAACGGUCGAAGGUUGGUUUAAACCAUCCAAAAAUGGUCAAAACUCAACAGUAAAGGUCUUGAAACCAUCAAAAAUUGUCCUAGAAUCACGAAAAUUUCUUCCAAACCCAAUGGACAGGUCUUGAACCCACCAAAAUUGGUGUUGCACCAAAAAAAAGGUCUUGAAACCAUCAAAAAUUGGUCAAAACCCACCAAAAAUUGUUCAAAACCACCAAAAUUUGACCCAACCUCAACAGAAAAUUCUUGAAACCACCAAAAAAAGGCCUAAACCCACCAAAAUUAGCUUGAAAGCAGCAAAAAUUGAUGUAAACCCAACAGAAAGGUCUUGAAACCAUCACAAUUUGGUCUAAACCCCACAGAAAGGUCUUAAAAGUGUCAAAAAUUGCUUUGAAGACACCAAAAAUGGCUUGAAAAUGCCAAAAAUUGGCGUAAACCCAACGGAAAGGUCUUGAAACCAUCAAAAUCUGACCUAAAUGCACAAAAAUUGCCUUUAAACCCCCAAAAUUUCUUCCAAACCCAACAGAAAAGACUUGAACCCA